rnacentral:rRNA from 1 species
AGAGUUGAUCAUGGCUCAGAACGAACGCUGGCGGCGCGUCUUAAGCAUGCAAGUCGAACGGCAAGAGGUAGCAAUACCUCCUAGAGUGGCGGACUGGUGAGUAACACGUGGGUGACAUACCCUUCAGAUGGGGAUAGCUAUUAGAAAUAGUAGAUAAUACCGAAUACGAGCACAGGGGUUAGAGAUCUGUGAGGAAAGGAGCUAAGGCUCCGCUGAAGGAAUGGCCUGCGGCCCAUUAGCUAGUUGGUGAGGUAAGAGCCCACCAAGGCGAUGAUGGGUAUCCGGCCUUAGAGGGUGAACGGACACAUUGGGACUGAGAUACGGCCCAGACUCCUACGGGAGGCAGCAGCUAAGAAUAUUCCGCAAUGGACGAAAGUCUGACGGAGCGACGCCGCCGUGGAUGAAGAAGGCCGGAAGGUUGUAAAAUCCUUUUGAAACUGAAGAAUAAGCGUUGUAGGGAAUGACAGCGUGGUGACAGUAGGUUUUGAAUAAGCAACGGCUAAUUACGUGCCAGCCGCCGC